rnacentral:rRNA from 1 species
CAGCAGCCACGGGAAUACGGAGGGUGCAAGCGUUAAUCGGAAUUACUGGGCGUAAAGCGCACGCAGGCGGUUUGUUAAGUCAGAUGUGAAAUCCCCGAGCUUAACUUGGGAACUGCAUUUGAAACUGGCGAGCUAGAGUCUUGUAGAGGGGGGUAGAAUUCCAGGUGUAGCGGUGAAAUGCGUAGAGAUCUGAGGAAUACCGGUGGCGAAGGCGGCCCCCUGGACAAAGACUGACGCUCAGGUGCGAAAGCGUGGGGAGCAAACAGGAUUAGAUACCCCUGUAGUCCCUGUCUCUUAUACC